rnacentral:rRNA from 1 species
CUACGGGCUGCUGCAGCUGAGGAAAUUUUACAAUGCUCGCAAGAGUGAUAAAAUAAACCAGAGUGUUUUUCUAUGAAAAACUUUUGUCUGAUGUAAAAAGUCAGACGAAUAAGGACUGGGCAAGACCGGUGCCAGCCGCCGCGGUAAUACCGGCGGUCCGAGUCGCAUCCACAUUUAUUGGGUCUAAAACAUUCGUAGCUUGUUUUGUAAGUUUCUUGUGAAAUCUCAUGUCUCAAGCAUGAGGCGUGCAAGAAAUACUGCAGUACUAGAGACCGGAAGACGUAAGGAGUAUGAUUAAGGUAGUGGUAAAAUACGUUAAUCUUAAUCAGACUAACAAUGGCGAAGGCACCUUACGAGUACGGAUCUGACAGUGAGGAAUGAAGGCUAGGGGCGCGAAAGGGAUUAGAUACCCUCGUAGUC